rnacentral:lncRNA from 1 species
CUGAGAUGGGAUUUUGUUCCUGUCUUCCAGUCCCCAACUCUGCAGCCCUCCAAAUCUAUUCCUUACUCACAAUACCUCCUUAGAAAACCUGGCUUUCCUUCUCUCAUUUCUUCUGAAGCCCCUUCUCCAUCUGGUUAAAGUGAAGAGUUCAGAUGGUUCAUGAUGGAGUUAGACGCUUUGCCCCAGGAUCAUGGAGUCAGCCUGGUGCCUUUCCACGAAUAACAAGCUCAGCAACUUGGCACAGCACAUGUAUGGAGGCCAUCAACCUCGACUCCAGGCACAAGCAUUUGGAAAUUGAUUCAACACUUUUGAAUUGAUGCUUGAUCAAACUUCGCUUAAUUGACCGGAAGAAGGACCGUGGCAAUACCUGGAGGGCAGUCCGUGGCAUGAACCACACAUCAACUCCCACAAAGUUACCUGGAUAUGAGGCAACUUGGAGGGGUUUCUCUUCCCUCAGGGUAAGAGAAAAGCCUGCUUCUUGGCUUUGGAGCUGUCCAGAUGCUGCCAGCUGGUUUUGCAGUGC